GGAGCAAGUAGCAGCUAUCCCUGCUGUUAAUUAGAAGAAGGUGAGAAGUUCCAGGGAUUUCUUACAAAGUAGAACAUUUUAAAGGCUGUGACAUAUAGCUGACGAUGGGUGGAAUAUUAAUGUUGCAGUUUGUGUUCUGAAUUCGAUGUUCCAAGGUGGUGGGAAAUGUCAGGAGAAUGUGACGGGAAUUUCUCUGCAUUAAAGAAAAUC